rnacentral:tRNA from 1 species
GGGCUAUUAGCUCAGUUGGUUAGAGCGCACCCCUGAUAAGGGUGAGGCCGCUGGUUUCAAAAUCCAGGCAUAGCCCA